rnacentral:rRNA from 1 species
UACAGAGGUCCCGAGCGUUGUUCGGAUUCAUUGGGCGUAAAGGGUGCGUAGGCGGCGGGGCAAGUCUGAUGUGAAAUCUAUGGGCUCAACCCCAUAGUCUGCCAUCGGAAACUGUCGGGCUGGAGUAUGGGAGAGGUGAGUGGAAUUUCCGGUGUAGCGGUGAAAUGCGUAGAUAUCGGAAGGAACACCUGUGGCGAAAGCGGCUCACUGGACCAUUACUGACGCUGAUGCACGAAAGCUAGGGGAGCAAACAGG